CGCCGCGCAAUCAGACAUAGCGCUCAGUCGGCGCACGGGUCACCUGCCGUCAACAGGGUUUGCGACAUUUGACGUGCAUGCGUAUAAUAACUACGUAUUUACUUUUAACUUGGUAACGUAUUUUUCCACUGUUUUUCAAAUAAAUACUCAACUA